CACGUAGGGCGCAAGCGUUGUCCGGAAUUAUUGGGCGUAAAGAGCUCGUAGGCGGUCUGUUUCGUCCGCUGUGAAAACUCGGGGCUUAACCCCGAGCCUGCAGUGGAUACGGGCAGACUAGAGGUAGGUAGGGGAGAAUGGAAUUCCCGGUGUAGCGGUGAAAUGCGCAGAUAUCGGGAGGAACACCGGUGGCGAAGGCGGUUCUCUGGGCCUUACCUGACGCUGAGGAGCGAAAGCGUGGGGAGCGAACAGG
rnacentral:rRNA from 1 species